rnacentral:rRNA from 1 species
UGGUAAUUCCAGAGCUAAUACAUGCAAACAACAUGGAUCCCUGUAGCAAUAUGGGUGAAACAUGUGCUUUUAUUAGAUUAAAACCAUGUCCAUCUUUGGUGGAUUUGUUUUAGAUGAAUCUGGAUAAUUAUGGCUGAUCGUAUGGUCUUGCACCGACGAUAGAUCAUUCAAAUGUCUGCCCUAUCAACUAUUGAUGGUAGUAUAGAGGACUACCAUGGUUGCAACGGGUAACGGGGAAUCAGGGUUCGAUUCCGGAGAGGGAGCCUGAGAAACGGCUACCACAUCUAAGGAAGGCAGCAGGCGCGUAAAUUACCCAAUCCCGGCACGGGGAGGUAGUGACGAAAAAUAACAAUACAGGA